rnacentral:piRNA from 1 species
UUUCUGUAGCUUAUCAGAGGCGCU